rnacentral:rRNA from 1 species
UAGGGAAUCUUCGGCAAUGGGGGCAACCCUGACCGAGCAACGCCGCGUGAGUGAAGAAGGUUUUCGGAUCGUAAAGCUCUGUUGUAAGAGAAGAACGUGUGUGAGAGUGGAAAGUUCACACAGUGACGGUAACUUACCAGAAAGGGACGGCUAACUACGUGCCAGCAGCCGCGGUAAUACGUAGGUCCCGAGCGUUGUCCGGAUUUAUUGGGCGUAAAGCGAGCGCAGGCGGUUUAAUAAGUCUGAAGUUAAAGGCAGUGGCUUAACCAUUGUUCGCUUUGGAAACUGUUAAACUAGAGUGCAGAAGGGGAGAGUGGAAUUCCAUGUGUAGCGGUGAAAUGCGUAGAUAUAUGGAGGAACACCGGUGGCGAAAGCGGCUCUCUGGUCUGUAACUGACGCUGAGGCUCGAAAGCGUGGGGAGCAAACAGG